CGGCGAGUGAAGCGGUAACAGCUCAAAUUUGAAAUCUGGCCUCACGGUCCGAGUUGUAAUUUGUAGAGGAUGUUUCGAGCAUGGUCUGGCCUAAGUUCCUUGGAACAGGACGUCAUAGAGGGUGAGAAUCCCGUAUGCGGUCAGGUGCCUACGCUCAUGUGAAACUCCUUCGACGAGUCGAGUUGUUUGGGAAUGCAGCUCAAAAUGGGUGGUAAAUUUCAUCUAAAGCUAAAUAUUGGCCAGAGACCGAUAGCGCACAAGUAGAGUGAUCGAAAGAUGAAAAGCACUUUGGAAAGAGAGUUAAACAGUACGUGAAAUUGUUGAAAGGGAAGCGCUUGCAACCAGACUUGCGCGCGGCUGAUCAUCCGGUGUCCUCACUGGUGCACUCGGUCGCGCUCAGGCCAGCAUCGGUUUUGGUGGUUGGAUAAAGGCCUUAGGAAUGUGGCUCCUCUCGGGGAGUGUUAUAGCCUAGGGUGCAAUGCAGCCUACCGGGACCGAGGACCGCGCU
rnacentral:rRNA from 1 species